CAACUCAGCCGUACGUCGGAACAGUCGAAACUUUGUCGGGGCUCUUCGAGUUUGAACUUAUAAAAUAAAAAAAGAGUAGCAAAAAGUAGAAAAAUAAGCACACAUUCAACCGCGACUGUGCGCUAGUAUAGGGCUUUUAGGGAAGAGAAGACAGCAAGCAGCUCCGCGUUUGUACUUAAGUAACAUUUACACAAAGUCAGUUCAGAAUAAUUCGCUCGUACCCCGUGUCGGGCGAUCGAUCCGGUGUGAAUAUUUUCGGUAAUUCGCGACGCGUCGAGUGCACAGUGCUUGCUUCCGGCAGGGAUUAGAAUUUUUAGUGAACUACCCACGGCCUGGCGAUUGGUCCCCGAUCGUAGAUACUCGAUUAGUGCUCAUUUGGAGGAUUUUCCGAAACAGAUUGAGGAGAGCUGCUGCGCAUCGCCAGUUCAGUCAGUCAUAGAACCGCCGCGACGACGUCGAACCGUGCGCGAGGCAGAGAAGCAGAGUGAAAAGAAUACGAAGGAGGAGUGUGUAAAGUGCGGAAACCGAGAGUUGUAGAAGGAAGGCAACGCAGCACGGCGGUAAAGAAAGGAGUCACCGAGUAGUGUGUACAAGUGUGACCGACCCACCACCAGAAGAAGUGUGUUUGUGGAGGCACUUCCCCCACGAUCGCGAGUGUUAGUGGCGAAUUUCUUGUUGGGAGGAAAAAUUUUGUUUUUCGAUUUUUUUUUUUGAGGUUACACAGAAGGAAAGCAGGAGUAAAAGAAAACCGGGUGUGCAAAGGAAGAAAGAGAAAUCGAAAGCGCUGUGUGGAUUAUAGGAAGAUAAAGGGAAGCGAAACAAGUUGAUUCAUACGAAAUUCCGAUACAUACACUAGUACAAAGGAGAGUGCAAGAAUAGUGUUUUUUUUUUCUAUCGUACACCGCAUCGGAGUAUUAUUGAUGAACGCAGUUAUAUUGAGGAAUGGAGAAGCAACACUGAGUUACACAGAUAGAACAAGUGUAUAAGAGUGAUUGUUGAACACGAUAUUAUUGUACAAAGCGCGAGAAGAAGUGAGUUGAUUCAGAGAGAAGAAACCUGGAACCAAGCAAACAAUCAGACAAGAUGAGCGUAUAUGGCAAUAGUGUGCACCCGGAGGCCACCAUCCAGUCGACGCAGAGCAUUGCCGACUAUUUGGCACAGCUACUUAAGGAUCGGAAGCAGUUGGCCGCUUUCCCGAAUGUGUUCAAUCACGUCGAGCGUUUGCUCGACGAGGAGAUAUCCAAGGUCCGAGCUUCCCUCUUCCAGAUCAACGGAGUGACAAAAGAGCCUCUGACGCUGCCAGAACCGGAGGGUGAAACUAUGACAUUGAACGAGAAAGUGUACGUACCGGUCAAAGAGCAUCCCGAUUUUAACUUUGUGGGACGAAUCCUCGGACCACGGGGCAUGACCGCCAAGCAGCUGGAACAGGAGACGGGAUGUAAGAUAAUGGUCCGGGGGAAAGGCUCGAUGCGAGAUAAGAAAAAAGAGGAAGCAAAUCGGGGUAAACCGAACUGGGAACAUCUGUCUGAUGAUCUGCACGUGUUGAUUACCGUUGAAGAUACCGAGAACCGAGCAUCGAUGAAAAUCAAGCGUGCGCUGGAAGAGGUCAAGAAACUGCUGGUUCCCCAUGCUGAAGGCGAAGAUGAAUUGAAGAAACGGCAGCUCAUGGAACUGGCCAUCAUCAACGGAACCUAUCGGGACUCGAGCACAAAAUCCGCCCCGGCCGAGAUCACCUUCGAAACGGCCUACGACGGAUGGAAGCAGCUGGCUGCCGAGCAGCGAUUAAUGAACCCUGCGCUCCAAGGUCUCACGCAGAACCAGCUCCAAAGUCUCACGCGAAACGCCGGCAAUCCACUCGGUGCUCCGCUGAUCCUGUCGCCACGAAUCUCAGUGCCAACGACCGGUGCCAGCCUAAUGACCGGUUCGGCGCCACCCACCAUCGAUCACACCACCGGGCUGAUAUACGCCACGGCACCGUACGCCGACUACGCCAGCUAUGCAGCACUGGCCGCCGGGAAUCCACUGCUCGCAGAGUACGCCGAUCACAGUGAAGAGCCCAUUUUGGUGCCAUAUUUUAUGACAUAUUUCACUUUCCCUCUUGCUUUCAACCGGUUCCACGCCACGGACAGAUGACAGUAUAGUCUCGAGAGUUGUUGAUACCGAGAAACGGUGCGCGGGAUGAAAUUUUGCGACCGCCUGUUCCCCCUCGCAACACUCCGGUUGACUUAAAUCAAAUGGCUAAAAUUUAUGAUCCGAGCUUGCUGUCCCACUACUGUCUGUCUAUCUGUCUGUCUCUCCGUGAAAACCGUUGCUGCCGCACUGUACCUUUCCUCAUGUACCAUUAUAUGUAUACAUUCACGGUAGAGGCCGCGAUCCCACAAGAAAGCUGCAAGAACGGUCAGACAGUUUUGAAGGACAUUGGCAGGCAAAUUCCGCAAACUUUUUGUCCCCAAAAUUGCGUGUGUAAAUAUGGCAGAUAGUGCCCUCGAUGACGAACGUAUGCGUGCAGUGUGCAACUCUUCUACCGCGUGACGCAGUAAAUUCCGGUGUGCCAUCCCCCAACGUCCCCCGUCCCCCCAUCAGUGAGUGCGUGUAUGUGAGCCCUAAGUGGAGCGAGAGAACCGAUCCAAGCCGAGCGCGUGCGUGAAUAGUUUUGUCGACAUCCCAGUGAAACCGUAGUCUACUAUUAUUACUCAACGCCAUCAUCGAUCCAAGUGACACGCACUACCCGUGCUUCACAAAAACAGCGUGCAUGCAUCGAAACAGAGUAAAAGCAGCGAAAACGGAAUCGUCCAGUGACGGAAGCUCCGAACUGACAAAACGUCCGCAGUGUAUGUAGUGAAACAAAUUCGUUCUAGUUGUGUUUUUUUUUAUAUGUAGAGUUUAAUGAAAACAAAUUUUUAUACUUCUCUUGUAUAUUAAGUAGUUAUAUAAAUUGAUGAGAUACACCCUGCGCAAUAGACAUUCACGGAGGAUUAGUUAAAUUAUUAUCAUUACGAUUCAGAAGAAGAAGAAGAAAUAUUUAUGAAAACAAAUGUUCAGAAAGCGUAGAGUGCGAGACAGUUCGGGACAUUGUGGAGCUGCAUUUGGAAGAUUAGAUUUGUGUGAUUGAGACGGUCAAGACGGCGAAAUAGAGCGCUGAUAGAUGGGAUGUACGAGGAUGCCGGAGCAGGAUUGCACAUUUAGAGGGGCAACAUUGAAUCAAAACAAACAGAUACAGACCACCAUCUUCUAAAUUUACGAACUAAGCCAACUUUUCAAAACAGAUGACAGAAUUCCGGCCCCCAGCCGAGCCUCGUUGAACGGAUCCGUACGUCAUCAUCGAUGCAUCGCGCGUGUUCCCAUUUUCCCAAUCGGUUGUUCCGGGUGCAGUAGUGGUACCUGUUGUCAUUGCGAGCCGAUUCAAUCAACAACGAGACAAUGCAGUACACACGACACAACGUGCAACGAUGAGAAACGUCCACUUUGCAAAAGAGAAAAGAGAAAGGGAGUCAACUGAUUGGGAAUCACCGGACACCGAACCAGACGACCAUCGCGACCAGGAGAAAUGCCGUGAGAGAAAGAAAGAAAGCAAGAAUGUAUCGAAGACGUACACAAAGAAGCACAGCAACAAAAACAUGAAUUAACUUUGUGAAUGCAAAAAACGUAAACACCAGUUUUGGAUUGAUGAGGAGACAUUCCAUACAAACCGUUAUAAGAAGCGAAGAAAGCAACAAAAAAAAAAUCCAGAAAGUUGUGCAGUAGGGUAUAUGUGUUAUUUUUUUAAAUAGCAGCGAAAGAUUGUCCAAGGUGCUUUCGAUGUGAAGAAAAGAGUGCCAAAUCUUCCCUUGCAGUAGCCCUUCACCCCUCCCCCCAAACACUACCAUCACCACUGAAAUACCGGAAUACUGGUCCAGAGUGGUGACUUCACCGAUGAUGGUAGUUUCGAUGUCGAGCAGUAGUGGCCGUAGAAAUACGAGAACACAAGUGGUAGACUGGUUCUAAAAUUCAACAUAAUUCAAAAAUCGUAGAAGAAGGUUUAAAUUUUAAAUAAUUGCAAAGAUAGACCAUCAUAAAAGUCAAACAACAUUAUUGAGAGUUUGGACCAGUCUACUCUAUAACUGCAUGAUCAAAAGUGGUCAGUCAACUUGUCAACCCCACCGAAAAUUGGUAGGGGGCAAGUGGUGUACGAAUCCGUGUCAUGUACUGGAAAGUAGCUCAUAUGAAUCUGAGAUGGUAGUGGUGGUGAGGGGUAAGAACAGCAACGCAUAUACAAGGGGAUGCACUUACGAUGCAGUUAGUCAGUUUUUUACCUAUAUUUAUAAGCAAUCAACCCAAAAUUGCAGUUUUACACAACACCACAAGUUACCAAGUAUUUUCGUUCGUCUGUUUCAUUUCUUUUUUUUUUACUGUAUAGAAUUUAUAUUUAGAUUUAAUGUGUAUUUUUUUUCAAGAAAAAGAAUGGAAAAUACAAGCAAAUAAAAAAGCAAAACGCGAAUAGCGAGUGUCACGCUAAAAUUGACAGUAUAUAAAGAUGAAAAGAAAAAUUCUUCCACGACCGUUUAGAGAUUAAGGAAGUUCAGCUGUAGUAUUUAAGAGGAGACGUUUCUUAGAGAUGCUUUGUUAGAAUGUGUCAAACUAGUCUACACAAUUAAAUAAAAAAAACGUUAGGUGUGAUGAGAAGAGAAAGAGAACAUGCUUCGAAAAUACCUUUAUUUCAAUGUACUGUAAAUGUGUUUAGUAUUUAAUGACAGCUUUCUUAGUAUUAUUAAGUAAGUAAACUAUUUAUGUAUAGAAAAAAA